ensembl:lncRNA
GUCACCCUAUUGGUUAUGGGUCACCCCAUUGGGUUAUGGUUCACCCCAUUGCCUUACGGCUCACCCCAUUGGGUUAUGCCUCACCCCAUUGGGUUAUGCCUCACCCCAUUGAGUUAUGCCUCACCCCAUUGGGUUAUGCCUCACCCCAUUGCCUUACAGCUCACCCCAUUGGGUUAUGAGUCACCCCAUUGGGUUAUGCCUCACCCCCUUGGGUUAUGGGACACCCCAUUGGGUUACGGCUCACCCCAUUGGGUUAUGGCUCACCCGAUUGCCUUACGGCUCACCCCAUUGGGUUAUGGGUCACCCCAUUGGGUUACGGCUCACCCCAUUGGGUUACAGUUCACCCCAUUGCCUUACGGCUCACCCCAUUGGGUUAUGCCUCACCCCAUUGCCUUACGGCUCACCCCAUUGGGUUAUGCCUCACCCCAUUGGGUUAUGGCUCACCCCAUUGGGUUACAGUUCACCCCAUUGGGUUAUGCCUCACCCCAUUGGGUUACAGUUCACCCCAUUGCCUUACGGCUCACCCCAUUGGGUUAUGGCUCACCCCAUUGGGUUAUGCCUCACCCCAUUGCCUUACGGCUCACCCCAUUGGGUUCUGGCUCACCCCAUUGCCUUACAGCUCACCCCAUUGGGUUAUGAGUCACCCCAUUGGGUUAAGCCUCACCCCAUUGGGUUAUGGAUCACCCCAUUGCCUUAUGGCUCACCCCAUUGGGUUAUGCCUCACCCCAUUGCCUUACGGCUCACCCCAUUGGGUUAUGCCUCACCCCAUUGCCUUAUGGCUCACCCCAUUUUCUUACGGGUCACCCCAUUGCCUUACGGCUCACCCCAUUGGGUUCUGGCUCACCCCAUUGCCUUACGGCUCACCCCAUUGCCUUACGGCUCACCCCAUUGGGUUAUGCCUCACCCCAUUGCCUUAUGGCUCACCCCAUUUUCUUACGGGUCACCCCAUUGGGUUCUGGCUCACCCCAUUGGGUUAUGGCUCACCCCAUUGCCUUAUGGCUCAC